ensembl:lncRNA
CCCUGGGCCACCAAAGCGGAGUGCACGAACUUAACCACUUGGCCACGGGGCUGGCCCCAGGGUGGGUACUUUUUUUUUUUUUUUUUUUGAGAAAGAUCAGCCCUGAGCUAACUACUGCCAAUCUUUCUCUUUUUGCUGAGGAAGACUGGCCCUGAGCUAACAUUCAUGCCCAUCUUCCUCUACUUUAUUUGUGGGAUGCCUACCACAGCAUGGCUUUUGCCAAGUGGUGCCAUAUCUGCACCUGGGAUCCGAACCGGUGAACCCCGGGCCGCUGAGAAGUGGAACGUGUGAACUUAACGGCUAUACUACCGGGCUGGCGCCCGUUCUUUUUUUUUUUGAUAGUAGCUAUGCUGAUAGGUGUGAAGUAUCUAGUAUUUUAAUAAUAGUUUAGUUUUGAGUGUUUUCUAAUUUUCAUUAAGAUUCCUUUUUUGGUCCAUAAAUUAUUGUACUUAAAUAUUUUAGUUGGUUAUUUUUAAUAAUGUGAGCACCUUCAAACCCACCACUACAAAACAAAAGCUAGGACUUGCCAGUAACCCGAGCCACCAUAUGUCCCCUCCACCGGGCCCCCACCCAUCCCAUUCUGUUCUCCCACCCGGGGUAACCGUCUGGAGUUCCAUAUGCCCUUGUUUUCUUUUCAUAUGGUUUUCUUGUAUUUAAAAGUUAUUUUAACCUUAUGAAAAGGAUAUGCUGAACGUCUUAUUUGGGGGCUGACUUCUUUCAUUUAAUAAUUUAAUUUGUUAUUUAAUUAUUCACUUUAACUUCCGUCAUUGUAUUACUGUGGUCCCGCUCAUUGCUCUGUGUUGCUGGUCUUCGUUUGUUUUGACUGUCAAUGUUUCCUUGCGGGACGGUUUAUCCGUUUAGUCUUCUGCUGCUGGCCCUCCACGUCUUCCCAUUUUUCUGCCGUUGUAAACAUUCUUGCACGUGUGUCUUUGUUCGGGUGGGAGAGCUUCUCUUGGGACGGUACCUAGGCGUGAACUCGCUCUGUCACGACUUUAGGCAGUGCUGCCCACUGUUUUCCGGAGUGGCUGCUCUGAUCCACAUUCACCGACAGCGGAUCCCUGUGGUGGAUUUCAUGACUUCUUGCUACAGUCUGUCCAUGUUUUCUUAAUAUAUUUGGAGUUUAUGUUAUUUAGCACAACAUGUUUAAAAUUGCUAUCUCUUUUUGUGAAUCGAACCCUUCAUUAUAGCGUGACUCUGUCCAUCCCUACAGAAGCUUCUUAUCUUAGUUUCUUUCAUCUGAUGUUCGUGUAGCUGCCCCACGUUUCUUCUGGUUGGGUUAGUAUUUUUGCCUGACAAGUCAUCGUCCAUCCUCUUGCUCUCAAGCUGUGCAUGGUCCCUUGCUUUAGAUGUCUCUGUGUGGAUCUGGAUUCUUCAAAGUUGAAUCACUAAUUUUCUUUUAACUGAUACAUUUAGUCCAUUUAACUCAUGGUGCUAAUUGGAAUAUUGAGACCCAUCUGUCAUAUUUGAAUGACAGUUUGGGUGGAUAUAAAGUUCUAGAUUCUAACUUCUUUUCCUUCAAUACUUUGCAAAUACUAUGUUAUUAUCUUCUUGUGUCCAGUGUUGCUGUUGAAAAGUCUGAUGUCAGCCUGAUUCUCUUUCCUUUAUGUGUGAUAUGCUUUUCUCUCUGUAAGCGUUAUCUCUGAUAUCCUUAACGUCCUGGAUGACGUGUGUAACUGCGAGUUAUUCCUUUUUUCCCCCUUUUGGCACUCUGCACUUUUUUGAUCCAAGGUGCUUCAUAUUUGUAUUACUCCAGGAAAUCUGUCUCCGUUAUUUCUUCAAAUAUUUUCUCCUUUCAUGUUUAUAUUUCUCUGUAGAAUUCCCAUUAUUCAGACGUUAGCACCUUUCCUUGUAUCUUCUAUAUCUCUUAGCUUUUCUUUUACAAUUUUAUUUCUUCAGUCCUUCCUCUUACAAGGUUUUCUCAAUCUAGUCUUCUAGUCACUGUUUCAUUUCUAAAUUGUAUUCCUUCUGUCGUAUAUCCUGUCUCUUGUGUUCUUUAUUUCAGCUCAGGCUGAGUUCUCUAGCAGGGUUAAACUACAGGUGACCAUACGGGAAAUUUCCUGCAUAGAGAACUCUGGGAGCCAGUGUCUGAGACACUUCAACAAUAGCCCCCUGUGGGGCAAGGCAGCCGGGUGUUUGCCUGUCAGCUCCCACCUGCCGUUGUGGGCGGGCUGCUCCUGGAGGCGUUAGCUGCCAGCCCACCCAUGUGCCGGUGGACCAGUAGGUGAGCUGGCUUCAGUGGCCGGGGAAAGUCCUCAGGCAAAGGCAACGGCAGGUGCUUGCUGUUGAAAUCUGGCCAGCGUGCACAAGUCUGUUACGUGCUGAGAGGAUACGUAUGGGAUUCUAGAGAGUGUGCACUUCUCAGUAGGAGAAGCAAGUCCAUAAAUGCAAAAGCCCUGGGGCCAGUGAGUGCUGGUGGGAUGUAAUUUCCAAAGCUGAGGUGAAUUCCAU